CGACCGCAAGUCCCGGCUCGCCCGGCGCCUGCGCGGCAGCGGGGGUGGGAGCUGCGGACGGCCAUGUGCGCGGCGGAGAGGCCGGGUGGCCACCGAACCUUCCCGCCUGUUCUGCGGGGCGUCUGGGCAUGGCUUUCCCAACCUAGUAACUGCAACUUUUAGCAUCCUACAUGUAGGACUUGGGAAUAUGUGAGACAGCGCCAAGAAUUUAAUCCAGGAGAAUUGACAAGCUUAAAUGAAAUCCAUAUUGCCCACUGAUUUUGUGCAGCUUCAGAUAAGUAAUCUUUCUCCACUUAGCCUUUUGUAACAAUUGAUGUAAUAAAGGUUUGUAGUCUUUGUGUAAUUUAUUAAAGCAUUGUGCCUAAAAUAGAAAAAAAGCAUAGGAACCAUAGGCUGUGUUUUCUUUUGAUUUAAUAUUUUCAUUUCUUCAGUUAAUAGAAAUUUGCCAAAUUCUGAUGUUUUUCUGUAGCAUUAUUUGAAUGAGCAUUGUUUAUUUGAGUGAACAUUCAGCUAAUUGUUACAGAAUCGUUGCCCCCAUUAAUCUUAGGCUGUAGAAUGUAGACAAGUAAAUAGGCAUCAUCAGUAUGAUGAGAGUGAAGCUACUUAAUACUGUGGAAUCAAAUAAAGGAGGAACCCCUUACUAAACCAAGAGGGAGGAAUAAAAUGGAAUGGGACUAGAGAAGCAAUUAGCUUUAAUAAGGGUAUUAUGGAAGACUUUCUAGAUGAGAAGCAGUAAGUACAGAUGUUUGGAGGCAAACACUAGAGAGAUUGUUGGGUAAAGAAGACAAUGCUGGAGGUCUACUUGUGAAGGCCUUGAAUGCUAUGUGCAGAAGUCAGCUUCUGAGAACCAGGAAGAAGAUAUUGAAAGAUUUUAAGUAGAAGAAUCAUAGGAUUGAAUUCAUUUUAGACAGAUCACUGUUACACAAAAAUUUGAGGCAAACAGAAGAGUUUGGAGUAAACAGUAGGCUGUGAGCCAGUAAUGACUUGGACUGAGUUGGUAGCAGGUAGGUGUGAAGAAAAUAAAGUGGUUAUUGGGAGAUUUGGUUAACUGAAAAUGACUGAGGGAGAUAGAUGUCAGGUGACUCCCAAGUGAGUUGGUGGAGCAGCUAGGAGGAUAGUAAUGUCUUCACUGAGAUUAGAAACAAAAUAAGAGAAUAUAUGUUAGGGAAGGAAGAAGUCUUUGUUUUGACCAUGUAAAAUUUGAAGUGCAUGUGAGCCAACCAGUCAUAUAUGUGUAGUGUGCAAUUAGAUAUUCAUUCAACACUGUUGGAAGAGCACCUACUCUGUGCCUGGUACUGUUCUACACACUGAAAUAGGUAAAGCAGCAGCAAAACAAAUGGUUCCUACUCCUGUUUUUUAGAGGGAAACAGCAUAUAAACAAGUUUUAAAAAUAAGAGGAGAGAGAAUAUCCCAUAAAUUCGUGAAGAAGGCUGGGUGCAGUGGCUCAUGCCAGUAAUCCCAGCAGUUUGGGAGGCCGAGGUGGGUGGAUCUCCUGAGUUCAGGAGUUAAAGAGCAGCCUGGCCAACAUGGCAAAACCCCGUCUCUACUGAAAAAAAUUAGCUGGGCAUGGUGGCACGCUCCUGUAAUUCCAGCUACUCCGGAGGCUGAGGCAGGAGAGUAGCUUGAACCCAGGACACGGAGGCUGCAGUGAGCCGAGAUUGCGCCACUGCACUCCAGCCUGGGCGACUGAACGAGACUCCGCCUCAAAAAAAAAGAGUUUGUGAGGAAAAUUAAAAGCUGAUUGGAUAAAGUGUUACUCUGGGGAAAAGAGAGCAAACUUUUGGUGGUUGGUUGAUCAGAGAUGGCCUCACUGAGAAGGUAUUAGAAAGGACAAGAACAGUGUGAGACCAAAGGGAAUAGCUGGGCAAAGGCCCUAAGGUGAAAAAUUUGUUGUGUUUAGGGAAUAGCAAGGUCAGUGUAUCCGAAAUCUAGUGACCAAAAGAAGGAAUGAUAGGAGGUGAAGUCUUCAGCCUCAAUAAGAAGGUGAAGUGCACUGGAAGCCAUUGAAGGAUUUAAGAAAUGGAGUAUCUGGCCGGGCGCGGUGGCUCACGCCUGUAAUCCCAGCACUUUGGGAGGCCGAGGCGGGUGGAUCACCCGAAGUCAGGAGUUC
rnacentral:lncRNA from 1 species